rnacentral:rRNA from 1 species
UACGAAGGGGGCUAGCGUUGCUCGGAAUUACUGGGCGUAAAGCGCACGUAGGCGGCUUUCUAAGUCGGGGGUGAAAUCCUGGAGCUCAACUCCAGAACUGCCUUCGAUACUGGAGAGCUUGAGUCCGGGAGAGGUGAGUGGAACUGCGAGUGUAGAGGUGAAAUUCGUAGAUAUUCGCAAGAACACCAGUGGCGAAGGCGGCUCACUGGCCCGGUACUGACGCUGAGGCACGAAAGCUAGGGGAGCAAACAGG